rnacentral:tRNA from 1 species
GGGUGAGUGGCAGAGCGGUUGAUUGCGGCAGUCUUGAAAACUGCUUUAGCGCAAGCUAACGGGGGUUCGAAUCCCUCCUCACCCG